rnacentral:rRNA from 1 species
UACGGAGGGUGCAACGUUAUCCGGAUUCACUGGGUUUAAAGGGUGCGUAGGUGGGAAUGUAAGUCAGUGGUGAAAUCUCUGAGCUUAACUCGGAAACUGCCAUUGAUACUAUGUUUCUUGAAUUAUUCUGGAGGUUAGCGGAAUAUGUCAUGUAGCGGUGAAAUGCUUAGAUAUGACAUAAGAACACCGAUUGCGAAGGCAGCUCACUAAGCUGUAACUGACACUGAGGCACGAAAGCGUGGGG